rnacentral:rRNA from 1 species
UUUAUGGAGAGUUUGAUCCUGGCUCAGAGUGAACGCUGGCGGCGUGCCUAAUACAUGCAAGUCGAACGAUGAAGCUUCUAGCUUGCUAGAAUGCUGAUUAGUGGCGCACGGGUGAGUAACGCAUAGGUCAUGCGCCUCUUAGUUUGGGAUAGCCAUUGGAAACGAUGAUUAAUACCAGAUACUCCCUACGGGGGAAAGAUUUAUCGCUAAGAGAUCAGCCUAUGUCCUAUCAGCUUGUUGGUAAGGUAAUGGCUUACCAAGGCUAUGACGGGUAUCCGGCCUGAGAGGGUGAACGGACACACUGGAACUGAGACACGGUCCAGACUCCUACGGGAGGCAGCAGUAGGGAAUAUUGCUCAAUGGGGGAAACCCUGAAGCAGCAACGCCGCGUGGAGGAUGAAGGUUUUAGGAUUGUAAACUCCUUUUGUUAGAGAAGAUAAUGACGGUAUCUAACGAAUAAGCACCGGCUAACUCCGUGCCAGCAGCCGCGGUAAUACGGAGGGUGCAAGCGUUACUCGGAAUCACUGGGCGUAAAGAGCGCGUAGGCGGGAUAGUCAGUCAGGUGUGAAAUCCUAUGGCUUAACCAUAGAACUGCAUUUGAAACUACUAUUCUAGAGUGUGGGAGAGGUAGGUGGAAUUCUUGGUGUAGGGGUAAAAUCCGUAGAGAUCAAGAGGAAUACUCAUUGCGAAGGCGACCUGCUGGAACAUUACUGACGCUGAUUGCGCGAAAGCGUGGGGAGCAAACAGGAUUAGAUACCCUGGUAGUCCACGCCCUAAACGAUGGAUGCUAGUUGUUGGAGGGCUUAGUCUCUCCAGUAAUGCAGCUAACGCAUUAAGCAUCCCGCCUGGGGAGUACGGUCGCAAGAUUAAAACUCAAAGGAAUAGACGGGGACCCGCACAAGCGGUGGAGCAUGUGGUUUAAUUCGAAGAUACACGAAGAACCUUACCUAGGCUUGACAUUGAGAGAAUCCGCUAGAAAUAGUGGAGUGUCUAGCUUGCUAGACCUUGAAAACAGGUGCUGCACGGCUGUCGUCAGCUCGUGUCGUGAGAUGUUGGGUUAAGUCCCGCAACGAGCGCAACCCCCUUUCUUAGUUGCUAACAGGUUAUGCUGAGAACUCUAAGGAUACUGCCUCCGUAAGGAGGAGGAAGGUGGGGACGACGUCAAGUCAUCAUGGCCCUUACGCCUAGGGCUACACACGUGCUACAAUGGGGUGCACAAAGAGAAGCAAUACUGCGAAGUGGAGCCAAUCUUCAAAACACCUCUCAGUUCGGAUUGUAGGCUGCAACUCGCCUGCAUGAAGCUGGAAUCGCUAGUAAUCGCAAAUCAGCCAUGUUGCGGUGAAUACGUUCCCGGGUCUUGUACUCACCGCCCGUCACACCAUGGGAGUUGUGUUUGCCUUAAGUCAGGAUGCUAAAUUAGCUACUGCCCACGGCACACACAGCGACUGGGGUGAAGUCGUAACAAGGUAACCGUAGGUGAACCUGCGGUUGGAUCACCUCCUUUCUAGA